UGUCUUACUGAGCUUCUUGUCGCGUUCUUCCCUGUGUUUGGCUCAGUCACAUGUCCAGGCUACCUGAGACCAGAGACAGCUGUCAUAAUAAGAACGGUAACCCUCUCGCUAGGACACUGGGGAGCUCGGGGGGCCUGGUGAGGACUUUGGGUGUUGGGGCCCAGGUGGUGGCAUCAGUGUUAGUGUGACCCCGCCCAGCCCUACAGUUUCUUCCUGUGUCACAGUCGCAUGCAGCACGGCUGUUCAGGUGAUGUGCUCCAGCAGCACGUGUGUAGCGGCCUGCUCUCGACGCUGCUGUCACCAGGCUCGGGGCUCUGCCAUUCGCCCCAGAGUGCUCACAGCUGCAUUGGCUGCUCCUAACGCAGUGUGCACACACGUGGGCCUGCACGUGUGCCCCAUGGUGGUGUCCUGGCUGACCCUACCGCCCACCUGAGCAGCAGCUUCAGUGUGGGAAGUGGGAGUGAGAAAGGGCAGGUGGAGACGCUGAGAGCUGCAGGGUGGUAGGAGAGAAGCUUUUCCUGCAGAGGGGUGCUUUCCUGAUUAUUCGCGGGGAGCAUGGGGAGAAGGGCAGAUGCUCCCUCACACUGGCCCGGAGGAGACGCUAGAAAGGAAGCCUGGCAACCAGCCUGUUCUGUGAGCUGGAGCUGGUGGGGGUGGCCGUGCGAGUCUGGGGGGGCGGGCUGGCCCCUGGGCAGGUCUAGUGCCAUCAGCCGAGCAGCCUCUCCAGGCAGGCUGUGGUAUGUGCAUCCUCAGUGGGAAGUGUAUUUCUGGGUGUUUUCUUUCAUAGACCUGUUUCGUCUCUGGCAUGUUAUUCUGACUUAAAACUAAUAGUAAGCCCCACGUAGUCAGUUUAUGAAGAUACUGUGAUCUGAUCGGGCCAAGGAAGUUUGAGGCCCCUUACACUUAGAAUAGCUUUGUGACCCCUCUCCCGAGGCGUGUGCACACCCGGGUCCUCUUGUCAGCUCAGCCUGCCUUUUUCUGGGGAAGCUGAGGACAGGAGGGCUUCUGGGCCUUCUCACUCUAUCUCUCCGCUUUGACAGGAAAGGGUACCAGGCUUCCCAGGUAGGUGGGAGGCUUGCCUUGAGGUGGGCUAAGGGCUUCUCCAAGACUCCAGAUUCUGUCUCCAGUGGGCCCAAAUGAGAGUCAUUAAGUCAUUAAGCUAUGUUCCAUAUUUCCUGAGCUCCGCUAUAUGCAGAGACUGCUGUGGGCAGUUUGCUGCCCUUCUGUCUCCAUCCUUUGUCCUUUUCUUCUAACCAGCACCUCCCCCCCACCCCCCACCCCCGUGGCUUUUUUAUCUGUCAACCAGCAGGGGGCGCCACAGCCCCAUACCCGCCCAGGAAGGGCUGGCAGGAAGCCAGCGCCAACUGCCCUCUGCAGGAUGAAUGACCGUAUUCUUGGGCCCAAUUAGCAUUCCUGGUGGCCCCUGACUUCUCACCUUCUUCUGUGCCAGCCAUGCUGCAGGUCCUGCCUAAUCAUUGGACACGGACUCUUAAUAAAACGGUCUUCAGUUCCAGAUUCCUUCCCAGCAAGCUAUAGCUUAAGUCCAUUUUCUUCUGUGAAAGGGACAGGACUCCAUCAAGUUAUGGAAUUCCUCAGAGCCCUGGGCCUGUCCCCUGGGGUGGAUUUAGUCAUGUCCAGCAGCACACGCCUAAUCCCGCCUCCGGGAAGGCUGCCUGCUCGGCUGGCCACCUGGGCCUCCUGUGUAAAGACUGCUUGGCUGUCCUGCCCAGCCUCCCUGGUCGUCUGGGGUCUUCUGGGUGGGUGGCAUCUCCCAGAGGGUGAUGACAAUCCCCCCGCACACACAUACGUGUGGUGCUGCUCCGUGUGCAAGGCCCCGUCAUGAGUAUGUUUUCUCUCUUCAUCCCUCCCUCUUUUUCUGGAUCCUAACUGCUUUCCUCCUGGAUCUUAAAAUGAUGUUAGCCCAGGGACGAUCUCAUUCAGCCUAAAGAAGAACACUCUAAUCAAUCUAGUGCUUUCCCCAGUGAGGAACAGGGGCUUUAGGGGCAAGCCUGGCUGGGCUCAAAAGCUCACGGGGUUGUCCCUCAGCAUGCCCUCUUUCUGGUGGCUUGUGAGGCUCCAGCCAGAGGCUGUCCCCAGCCACAGGCUACUCCCGGCCCCUGGAGUCUUCCUUCUGUUUUCAUUGUUCCCAUUGUUGCCUGUUGGGCAUUUUCCCAACUUUUUGGCCUCUUUGCCCGAAGUCACAGAGGGGAAAGUACCUCUUGGGCUGCCUCCCUGUCCCUCCCAAGUAAUUAGAAGCAGGCUACAGGGGGAAGGGGUGCUUUUAGGAAGGCCACUGGUGAGGGGCACUCGAGGAAGAGUGGCCAUGCAGCCAGGUGACCUGUCCCAAGUGGGGUGGGACACUGGGCUGGUGGGCGAGAAAAGGCUCUCAAACCCAGAACACUGGACCAGUCCAUAGUGAGGCCAUCAGAGCCCUCGGGGUCUGCUCUGUGCACAUCUCUGAAGGGGUGUCGCCAGUGCAAGCACCCUCUCAGUCUUCAGUCCCCUAGAAUAAUGACAGCCUCUGGGGGUGGGGCAGGCCAGGGUGGGCACAUCAUCCAAGCCCUGUGAGAGGCACUGAAUAGGAUUUUUUGCUCUAAAAAUAAAUAUCAGCCCUUUUUUGGUCAUGAAUCCAGCAUUUCAGCAGAAAACUGCCUGAUGAAAAGUCCCUUAAGGAACAGCAUCUGUGUUUCAGGGAGUUUUGUUUUGUUUUUGUUUUUCUUUGUUGUUGUUUUGGGGGGGGGGGUUGGUUUUUUGGGUUUUUUUGUUUUUUUUUUCCCCCCCUCUUUUUAAAGUGUAGUUUGUGUGUACUUCUUCAAGGCUUAUAACAGUCUCCUGGCACCUUGGAGCCUGCCUUCUAGAGCUGGAAGCAAGUUUGAGGAGGUAUAGUUCCGUCAGCAGCUGGUGGAUGCUGGCCACCUCCUGUGCGGAAACCCUGGGACACUUCCUCGGGCCUUGGGUUCUAGAUCCAGCCUCUCCAGGGCCCUGCAGUGAUGCUUGCGAGUUCCUAGGCUGCUCUCUGAUCCUCUGGCCAGUCUUCUUCCAGUCAAACUCAUUUGCCAAACAGACUAUUUUGAGUUGCCCUUUGGCCUGUGCCUGAUGUGUUCCCAGUGCAGCUCGGCCUGGCUGGAGCCAGGGGGCUUCAUGCCCAGAGAUUCCCACAGGACAGUUGGGAAGCUGCUGGCAUUGUCUUUCUGGGAAGAUUCUGCUGUCUUGGAACAAAUGGCAGCCUGGAUUCCCACAGUGUCGGCCUGUGUUGCCGCCCCACCCCUUCCCACACUCGUGCAUACCAGCUAUAGCCACAGGCCAGCUCGCCUGCAGGGUCUCUGCACCCUUGCUGUCCAGGGGUCCUGGCCUCCUUGCCCAUCGGGCUUUUAUCUGUCAGGGAACUCGAUGUUUAGACUCGAGCCGUUACCUGUGCCCAGUGCCCCAGGAAUAGGGCAGAGAGAGCAGUGCCCACUCACUCCUCAUUGGCAGCCUCCUGUGUGUGAGCAGGGGGACAUGCCAGCUGGGCCUUGACACACCAGCCAGCCUGCGGGGCCUGAGGAGUUGCUGUAGGAGGGGCGGGUGGCCUGGGCCUCUGCUAGCGCCAAGGCUUCCCCGUCCGUUGCGUUGAGGGGCUCUGUGCCUCGGCCCUGCCCUUACCCUCAAUCCUGUCUCCUUCCCUUGAGUGGGGGCGGGGGGGGGGGGGGGGGGGGGAAUCAGUGUUUUAAUCAGAUUUUACAAAAACGUUUUAAUUCUUUGUACAAUUACCAUCCUAUGUAAAGAUGAAAUUUGUGUUGAGUUCAAGAUUUUCAUGGAAUAAAGAUCACACAGUACUCGAGGCCAUCUUCAUGUAACCCUUUCUAGAGAGUUUUGUGUGGGUGUCUCGGGGCUGGUGUGUCGUGAAGCUGU